rnacentral:misc_RNA from 1 species
GCCGGGGAGGGAGGGGGGGGCUGUGGAACCACCAGUUCAUAGCAAGAUCUGUCCAGGAAACGCAGGAACAGAUCAAAUCGAAUAAUCACAGAUCCAGAUAUGAGAACACCAGAACGGACAAUUGAUCAUGCGAAAACAGAACACCUAAGAGGCAGUGAUAGUCACACACUAUACCUAACUCCAUAUCUCACCUUCAGUAACAAAAACAGAGAAAAAACAAUCAACAAAACCUCAGAUCGGAAACACCAAUCCAAAAAUCAAUAAAACAAAAAGCAACCAAAGCUCACCGAUUCAACACCACCUCUCACACUCACUCACAACAAGCUGAACAAGGAGUAAAAGAUUUUCCAAAAUAGCAAACAACACCAUACAGAAUGAAAUGAGAGGAAACCGAUCUACGCAAACCACAAGCAAAAAAGGAAAUUAAGGAUAUUGUUCAGAUCGAAGCUUACCUUUGAAAUUGAAGGAUCGAAG